ensembl:lncRNA
UGAUCAAACAGCACACAGGUUAUGUUGCAGGGUGUGACUUGGCAUGGAGUACGCUGUAGGUGAUUCCUGAAACUGUAAAGCCUGCAUGAGUUUGUAUGUGUGUCUGUGUGUACUGUUUCCUAAUAAAGUGUUCGGUGAGUGUAGUUGGUACGUAGUUGCAGUAGAUACUAUUUAUAGCAUUUAUACUGUAAUGUAUAUUCACAGUAAUGGCGAGACUUCAUAUUGCUUUAAAUAUCAAGUUUCAGUUACACUUUAAACUCUUUUAUUGCCAAAUCUACACCUAGAAUAACUUGAAAAAGUCCUAACAAAAGAAUCUAAUAAAAUGUGUUUAUUAAUCAUUUCAUUUUAGUAGCUGCUCUGAGUAGCCUACUAACAAACAUUGCUAGCUGAGUAUUAGAAAGUUCUUGUGUUGCAGGAGCUAGCUAUUAGCUAGCUACAGAAUGUAGUCCAGGAGCACAAUGUAAGGAUGAUCUCCCUUAGUAUCAGUCAAACAUUCCAGUGUUUGAUGGAAAGUUAGUUAUAAUUGGUAUUUACAGUUAGAACUUGUAUAUAAGUAGUUGCUGUAAACUGUAUGGAUUACCUGUUUUAACUUGAAAGCUUUUAGGUAGCUAGCUAGCAAUUAUUAGCAGAUCUCCUGCCAGCUCUCUUGUAUAGUUUAAGCCUUGUUUAAACUUGUUGCACUUACCCUGGUUUGCUGGUAAUACUGAAGCCAUGAUGCUUUAUCAAAAGUGAGGGGGAAAUGAAAGUUAACUUACAGUAAAGUUAUUGAUAAUAUACAUAGUUACAGCAGUAUUACGAUAGCGAUACAUUGAAAGGUACUGCUGGUACGGUAAAUAUGUUCCCACAAUACUUGCUGCAUUAAACUGAAAGCACAUUUUCAGUAUUGUACUGACUUGAAACACAGACACAUGGAGAAAUGAUAGAAUUUCUUUACAGAUUCUUUGCACAGAAGCACAGGUCACGCUGGUUGCUACAUUCUGGUUUUCAUGUGUAACUAAAGUUUAAUCCACCACAUUACUGAAUACUGAUAGAGUACACAUAGCACUGAGGGUGUUUUGUGAUGAAUUACAUUUAUGGCUGUCAGCAGUAUUGCCCCAACAAUAAAACACCAUUUAGAGUGUUUUGCUUUUUUUCACUCUUGAAAUACUUCCAGCACUCAGCAAAAAACAGAAGAUACAUUAUGUAAUGCUUUAUUACUUAUCUGUAGUAGAGUUUAUAUGCAAGUGCAAAUUUACUCAUGCGUAACCAAUUUGAGAUUUCCUUCUUAGUUUAAUAAAUGUUUUAUGCACAUAGAAAACAUACGUAUUGUGUUGCUGCACAUGAUAAAAUCUAUUUUAUAGUCUUCUGCACCUAGUUAAUACUAAUCACAAUCAUUUUGGCAGUAAACAAUAAUGUUGUUCUCAUGCCCACCAAUGAAAAUGCAUUUUUACUGGCAUGUUGUUGUACUUCAAUUAUCUUUUCUUGGGAGUUUUGUCCAGGAUUCAUGCUGAAAUGCUGAAAAAGUCUAAAGCAAGCAGAAGAUGUUUUUUUUCUUCAAAUGUUAAAAUGUCUACGUGAAUUCAGUUAAAAUAGAAGAAAAAUGAUCAAAUGAUCACUAACUCCAUAUCUCGUUUGUUAUUCUCUACAUGCCAUUGGAAGGUUUGCAAAAAAAAAAUUAACAGACACUCAGGAAAAAAUGUAUUAAGCUGCACUUUUCAGGGUAAAAACAGGAAUCACUAGGAUUGUCCCUCAAGAAGAUCUCAAGAAUGUGGUACCUUUCAAAUUCAUUCAGGUCCACUGUGAUACUAUUCCAUUGCUUGUACACUGAUGAACAUGUUAUUAUACCUGUUUGUUGUUUUUUUUUUGCUGGUUUUCAAACAUGAUUGCAAACCACCAAGAGGAUGAGUAGCUUCCUAAAGAACAACAGCUGCAAAGGCUGCUUAAUGGGGUAAUGCUGGUAUUUCUGUCAUGCCAGGAUUCUGUUUCUUGAAAGCACGGUAAGUAUAGAAACACCUGUUUGUCUAAAACAGACCUUCCCAUCAAACAGUAGUAUUUUCAGAAAUAUUUUCAGAGGCUGAUCUGGACAUCUUAAUGACACAAUGAUUGAGUAUCGAUGCCAGUAUACCCCUAUGGAGAUACUACGUUAACUACGUUUCCCUUGCUUGACGUGGGGAUUCAUAAUACUUAAUCAAAUGUGAAAAUGUUUUAAUCAACAUUAAAUAGAUAAUUACACAUAGGUAUUUAUUAAGCAGAAUAAGUUUGGCACUCAGAGUGCCAAAGUCAAAUUGUAUUCCCAAAUGUUUUUAAGAAACCUUUUCAUAGAAUUUACAAUGGGCAAAUUGGUGCAGCAAACUAACACAGUUAAAUUGAAUAAAUUUUCAACAUACAGUAAUAAAAAAGAGUAAACUGGUAUUCUCUUGAAUCUAUAUCUACCGUCUCACGUGGUAAUACACUUUCUCUAAAAAAGACAAGCCAUGAAAAGCGGAGGCUUUAUGAAUACUCUUCAUAGGUUUUACUUUUCCCGGUGUCUUGUCCAGGUUGGAGCCAUCUGAGCUCUCUGUGUUUUGCUUGGCGGCUUCUUGUUCCUGCUGACUUUGGACAACGUGAAAGCUCCCAGAAGAUUUCAUUCUCCAUGGAUAAAUUCUAACACUUGACUUUUCUCAGUUGCUUCUAUUUUCAUUCAUUAGCAAGUCCCUUCUGUCUCCAUAAAUUUUCAGUUUCUUGAAUUACAACCAUGUAUGCAUUAUUAAACAGCAAAGAUCAGCCUGAGAAGAGAUGAAUGCCUGCAGGUUUUUAAUGGCAUAGUGAAAUCCAAACGGGACCUUAAUGUUAAAGUCUCUUUGUUGGAAUCACUGAGAAAUAAAUAUUUGCACUCUUUCUCAGACAUGGAUGAACUUUUCAUAAAUGUGGAUUUUAUUUUAAGUCAAAGAUAAUUCCAUGGCCUAUGAUACCUUCACUCUUGAGGAGAGCAAUUUUACUUGCCUAUAAACUAUCCACAGUAAAACGGAAUAUCUUUGGUAUUGACGUCCAACUAACAAAAGAGUUUCAUUUUUAAGGAAGCUUCAUUAAUUUCCUAUAAAGUGGAUAAAGUCAUGCAUCAAUCCUUAUGCAUUACUGCUGGAGGGUAUUUUUUUUUGUUGUUGUUUUUGUUUUUUAAACUGUGUAUGUGUUUGUAUUACUUUAUAUUUUAUUUCUCCAAAAUAUGCAAUCAACUGUAUAUUUGGUAAACCAAGAGAAGGCUGGUGGAUUGUCUUGUUAAGCACCUAGGUACAAUCAGACAAGGUCAUUUUUCAUUAAAUCUUCUUGAAGGAUAUCUUCUUUGCAAUGCAAGCUUGAAUGGCCAUAUUUUACUGUAAACAUGUUGAUGCUUGUGUGUGAGAAUUUUCAACUGCAUGUACAUCUCUGCUGGGGAUAUAUAAGGUAUAGGUGUGUUUUGGGGUGUUCAUUUUUCACUUUCUCACCUUGUGUUUGUUUGUUUGUUGCGGCUCCUUGUGCUAACUUUAUCUAAUUUGUAGCUAUUCAAGAAGACAUUUUUGUGAAAUCCAAACAAAAUGUGUGUUUAGUUAAUGGAUCUCAGAAAACCUAUUCAUUCUCGACUACAGAUUCGAAAUAAGCAUAUUAACAAUGUUAGCUGCUAUCAACUUUCAUUCAUUUUCAUUCAUCUUCAGUAACCGCUUUUCUUGGUCAGGGUCAUAGUGGAUCUGAAGCCUAUCCUGGCAACAUCGGGCACGAGGUAGGAACACAGCCCAGAUGGGAUGCCAGUUCAUUGCAGGGCACCAUGCACACACAUUCAUACACUCAUUCACACUUAGGGGCAUAGCUAAUCCAAGUGAGCAUAGCUAAUCCACCUACUGGCAUAUUUUUUUCGAGGUUCAGUUCAGGAAACUGAAGAACCCUGAGGAAACCCAUGCAGACAUGGAGAAAACAUGCACAGACACCUGAGGACUGUGAGGCAGCAACGCUACCCAUUGUGCCACCAUGCUGCCACCAGAAAUGCUGUUAUAGAUUACAUAACAUGUUGCAGUAUUUAUUUUUAAAGGAUAUUAGAGUCUUGGUGAUUUCAAAAUGAUUUUUUUUGGCAAGUAACAGGUUAAAGAAAAUGGCAAAAAAGAAAAGAAAAAACAUGCAAGCACAUGUCCAGAACUUAAAAAAAUUGGUGUUACAGCUGUCCAUAAUAUGAGGAGAGCUGUUACAAAAGGUUCAUAUUGUCUUAUAAUCUAUGUAUAUACCUUUAGACAGAUCAAAUAAGUAUUACAUAAAAAGGUGUGAUUUCUAAGUCUGUUUUCCAUCUACAGGUUUUGUAUGGUAAUGCAAAGAGUUGUUACUUGAAUCCCCCUUAUAGCUACACUGGCAGCACUUCUUCAGCAGACACUGUUUUAAAAUCUUUUUCCCUCUGAGACUAAACCUAAUGGCACCUGAAGGCGAUGAGGUGGCGUUUUCUCUCACGAGCGCUCACGCUGCUUUCACCUCCCAGUGUUUGAAAGGAAAAAAGGAAAGCAGAGUCAGUUCUCGGAUGGCGGAAAAUACACGAAGUUAUAAAAAAAAGGGGGGGGGGGGGGGGCUGUGAUUGGAUCCUCACAUAGAUGCGACGUCUGCGGAAGAGAGAUGAAAUCCUCAAGUCGAAUUGCUGUUGUUAUUUUUUUUUUGUAAUAGCGUCAGUGCGCAUGUGCGCAAAGAGGCUCGUGCGUGGCGCGUGUAGGAGCGCACACACUGCUGUGUGUCUGUGAAGUUCAGCAUCUUUCUCUCGCUCAAACGUGCCAGGUGUUUUCUUUAAUAAAUCUUCUUACUGAAUGCAAUGAAUUGCAUUGCGGUGCGUUUUCAAAAUUAUUCGGAACUAACAAUGUCCUAAACAUAGUAUUUAUUAACUACGCACCGUGGUAUAACUCCCAGAUAAAUUCACGUGCCUAGAUAAUAUGAGACAGUCAUAUGUUCUGACUUUAAUUUUUAUUGAAGAGGGGGGGGGGGACCUUUGAAACGUACCCAUGCACUGUAAACAGUUUGCCA